GCCUCAGUAGCUCAGCUGGUUAGAGCGGCGGACUGUUAAUCCGUAGGUCAUAGGUUCAAGUCCUAUCUGAGGCGCCA
rnacentral:tRNA from 1 species